UCAAUUUGCACAGAUAGUUUGUCGAAAUUAGAUCGUCAUAACUUAUGUAUCGUCUGAGACAUUUCAAAGAAAUUUAUGGUAAAUGUUGUGCUGCCAAUGUGGACUCACCAUUCGCCGAGAGCAGCUACUAUGGCAUUAACCCACUUUCAUUUGAAAAUUUUCUGAAAAAGUUCAUCCGUCUACUUACUCCAUGUGAAACUGUUUCUUUACACUGGCUCUACUGGUACGUGUUGCUUUUGAGCAUACUGAAAAUGUAUAAUACCGUAAGCGAAUGCAAUGCAGUUUUUGGGCAGGCAAAAAAAUUAUUUAUAUUUCGUGAUCGUCAACUAUUGCAUGUUUCCCAUCGAUGGCGAAAUAAAAUUAGACAAUUCGUUGUGUGCUUCGUAUGCAUCAUGGAUGUGUUCUUGGCUUUGGGAAUACUGACGAUGAAACCUCAUUAUAUGACGCCAUGGAUAAAUAUUCAGUUUUUCUCGCUGCUAAUUGACAUUUUGUUGCACAUUUCCGAUAUUUGCAAUGGUACAGUAGCGCCAUCAUUUCAAAAUAUCGUUGCGUUCUUGUUCAUCUAUUUCAACCUUGAAAGUGUUUCGUGCAUUCGAAAGAUUUUUGUUCAGUUGAUGCCAGUAGACACUAAUAUUGCGGACGGUUACUCGUUAUUUUAAACAAAUAAAUUUUACAUGAUUCGUCUACAAUGUUUCUCUAUUU